rnacentral:lncRNA from 1 species
GUUGGAUAAUAAUGGACCACCAUUUCAAUGUUUCACGACAUAGGUCCUGAUAACUCUUGCUGUCAUCAUAAUUAAUUUUUCCUUACACUUAUAGACUGGUACUGGUUGGCGGGUUACCCACCCGAUAUAUCUGGCCUGGGAAAAAGCCGUUGUGAAGACGAUCGAAAAAAAUAAAAAAAAAUAAAACAACAUACGCAUAACCAAAAUGAUGAAUUGAACUUGACAAUAUUUAAUU